CCGAGUUCUCGAGCUUCGGCUCGACUCUCCCACCCUUUGUGAACAUACCUCUGUUGCUUUGGCGGCUCGCUCCCGUGGCUUCACCGCUCCGGACGGCCGCCAGAGGACCUUCAAACUCCAGUCAGUAAACGUCGACGUCUGAUAAGCAAGUUAAUAAACUA
rnacentral:misc_RNA from 1 species